rnacentral:rRNA from 1 species
GUCGGGAAUUUUGGGCAAUGGGCGAAAGCCUGACCCAGCAACGCCGCGUGAGCGAUGAAGGCCUUCGGGUCGUAAAGCUCUGUCGAGAGGGAAGAAGGUUCUCGGGGUGAACAAUCCCGGGGAAAAGACGGUACCUCUAAAGGAAGCGCCGGCUAACUCCGUGCCAGCAGCCGCGGUAAUACGGAGGGCGCAAGCGUUGUUCGGAAUCACUGGGCGUAAAGCGCGUGUAGGCGGCUUGGCAAGUCGGGUGUGAAAGCCCGGGGCUCAACCCCGGAACUGCACUCGAAACUGCCUCGCUCGAGUCCCGGAGAGGGUGGUGGAAUUCCCGGUGUAGAGGUGAAAUUCGUAGAUAUCGGGAGGAACACCAGUGGCGAAGGCGGCCACCUGGACGGUGACUGACGCUGAGACGCGAAAGCGUGGGGAGCAAACAGGAUUAGAAACCCCGGUAGUCC